rnacentral:rRNA from 1 species
GACGAACGCUGGCGGCGUGCCUAAUACAUGCAAGUCGAACGAGAAGCCCGGGCUUGCCCGGGUGGAAAGUGGCGAACGGGUGAGUAACACGUGAGCAACCUGCCCCGAAGACCGGGAUAACACCGGGAAACCGGUGCUAAUACCGGAUGUCUUCGCCGGACCGCAUGAUCCGGCGAGGAAAUGGUCAGCCGCUUCGGGAUGGGCUCGCGGCCUAUCAGCUUGUUGGUGGGGUAACGGCCCACCAAGGCGACGACGGGUAGCUGGUCUGAGAGGAUGUCCAGCCACACUGGGACUGAGACACGGCCCAGACUCCUACGGGAGGCAGCAGUGGGGAAUCUUGCGCAAUGGGCGAAAGCCUGACGCAGCGACGCCGCGUGCGGGAUGAAGGCCUUCGGGUUGUAAACCGCUUUCAGCAGGGACGAAAUUGACGGUACCUGCAGAAGAAGCCCCGGCCAACUACGUGCCAGCAGCCGCCGUAAAAC